AGUGAACGCUGGCGGUAGGCCUAACACAUGCAAGUCGAACGGCAGCACAGUAAGAGCUUGCUCUUACGGGUGGCGACUGGCGGACGGGUGAGGAAUACAUCGGAAUCUACUUUUUCGUGGGGGAUAACGUAGGGAAACUUACGCUAAUACCGCAUACGACCUACGGGUGAAAGCAGGGGAUCUUCGGACCUUGCGCGAUUGAAUUAGCCGAUGUCGGAUUAGCUAGUUGGCGGGGUAAAGGCCCACCAAGGCGACGAUCCGUAGCUGGUCUGAGAGGAUGAUCAGCCACACUGGAACUGAGACACGGUCCAGACUCCUACGGGAGGCAGCAGUGGGGAAUAUUGGACAAUGGGCGCAAGCCUGAUCCAGCCAUACCGCGUGGGUGAAGAAGGCCUUCGGGUUGUAAAGCCCUUUUGUUGGGAAAGAAAAGCAGCAGGUUAAUACCCCGCUGUUCUGACGGUACCCAAAGAAUAAGCACCGGCUAACUUCGUG
rnacentral:rRNA from 1 species